UUUUUUCUGUUUGGCAAUAGGCUCGGGCCUCAUGGCAUUUUUCUAUUAUUAGACAUCGAAAUGUGUGAUGACAUCGAAAUGUAGUAUUCUUUUUAUUAGUUUCUCUGGAAUAAGGAGAAUUUGUAGUGAUGUUAUGUCCUGUUUAUAUCAUUCUAGAAACCAAUAUUUGGAUAACAGUUGGGUGAAGGAGAUUUGCUCACAAUCUUGGUGGAUUGGGUGGGAUGACAAGAUGGAGGUUGUGCAUGCAGGAUAUAUUUGACAAAGUAAUGAACAUGGUUUCUUAAUGGUAUUUUGGCAAAAAAGUUGAUAAAUUAACAUCUGACCAGUGUUUUAAAUGUAGUUCAUGUGGCUGCAUACGUGACCGCAUUGUAAUAGGUUGGGCCACAUCGUGAGCCAUCAAGCAUCUAUAUAGGCCAUGUUGGUGAUAUAUGUUGCAUGGUGCAUAUAGAUUGUGAUGAUGUUUGAUGGGACAAUCAUUUACUAAAUCAACAUUUUGAGUGUCUUUUUAAUAAACUAGUAGCUUAAAUACUACAUGUUUUGCUUUAGCAAGAUAUUUUUAACUGCAGUUGCUAGUCGUGCAUCCUUAUUGCAUGUUGUUAUUGUUCUUAUUUGUAAAUUUCUUGGUUGCACUGAUUUUCAGCAUAGUUCAUAGUCAAUUGUUUUAGGUUCACAUUUUAUACUAUAGCAACUUGUUCGAGCGCAUAGUUUAAUUUUCAUUUUUUUACUUAUUCAUUUUCUUAUUUUUACUUAUUUAUUUUUUAUUUUUUAUUUUUAUGUUUUAAUAAAUCUAUUUUGACCUAGAUAUUUAUAAAACGCCUAGUGCUUUAAUGCCUAUGUAUGCUAGGGGUGAAAGUGCACAGCAUUUGACUAAUAUCUAUGUUUGUAUCCAUGUCUAUAGCCAUAUCAAUCGAAGAAAAAUAUAUAUGGAUAUGGAUAGAUAACUAUUUGAUCUGUAUCUGAAUAUGCUAUUCUAUUUGUAAUCCUAUUUAAUCUUAUAUAGAACUCAUGAACUUCGAAGUAAAAUAAGUGACAUUAUUGUCAUGUUAUAAGUUGAUUUACCGUCCACUUACUAAUAUCUUUGAUUUUGUGGUCAUAAAGUUAAACUAUCUGGUGUGUAUCUAUAUUUGCAUCUAUACUUUCAAUAUCUAAUUUGUAUCCAUAUCUGUUUAAACCAAAUAUGAAUAUAAAUUUUUGCAUCUGACUAACAUCUUUAUUU
rnacentral:lncRNA from 1 species